rnacentral:rRNA from 1 species
GACGAACGCUGGCGGCGUGCCUAAUACAUGCAAGUCGAGCGGGCUGGCGCUUUCUUCGGAAAGCGUUGGCUAGCGGCGGACGGGUGAGUAACACGUAGGUAACCUGCCUGUAAGACUGGGAUAACAUUCGGAAACGAAUGCUAAUACCGGAUACGCGGCUUGGUCGCAUGACCGAGCCGGGAAAGACGGAGCAAUCUGUCACUUACAGAUGGACCUGCGGCGCAUUAGCUAGUUGGUGGGGUAAUGGCCCACCAAGGCGACGAUGCGUAGCCGACCUGAGAGGGUGAUCGGCCACACUGGGACUGAGACACGGCCCAGACUCCUACGGGAGGCAGCAGUAGGGAAUCUUCCGCAAUGGACGAAAGUCUGACGGAGCAACGCCGCGUGAGUGAUGAAGGUUUUCGGAUCGUAAAGCUCUGUUGCCAGGGAAGAACGCUUGGGAGAGUAACUGCUCUCAAGGUGACGGUACCUGAGAAGAAAGCCCCGGCUAACUACGUGC